rnacentral:rRNA from 1 species
UACGUAGGGUGCGAGCGUUGUUCGGAAUUACUGGGCGUAAAGGGCGCGUAGGCGGUUUGCUAAGUUGGAUGUGAAAACUCUGGGCUUAACCCAGAGCCUGCAUCCAAAACUGGCAAACUUGAGUACUGGAGGGGAAAGCGGAAUUCCUGGUGUAGCGGUGAAAUGCGUAGAUAUCAGGAGGAACACCGGUGGCGAAGGCGGCUUUCUGGACAGUAACUGACGCUGAGGCGCGAAAGCUAGGGGAGCAAACAGG